AUGUCUGGAGCGCUUAAUUUCUUGCAAAUGACGGAGGAGGAUGUCCUUGUUUCCUGCAGGAGGAACUCACUUAGGUGGCACCAACCUUGACUUCCAGAUUGAACAGUACAUCCGUAAAAGGAAAAAUGAUGGCAUCUGCAUCGUAAAUCUGAAGAGGACCUGGGAGAAGCUUCUCCUGGCAGCUCGUGCCACUAUUGACAUUGAAAACCCUGCUGAUGUCACUUUUACAUCCUCCAGGAAUACUGGCCAGAGGGCCGUGCUGAAGUCUGCUGCUGCCACUGGAGACACUCCAAUUGCUGCCACUUCACUCCUGGAACCUUCACUAACCAGAUCCAGGCAGCCUUCUGGGAGCCAUGGCUUCUUGUGGUUACUGACUGCAGGGCUGACCACCAGCCUCUCAUGAAGUUAUCUUAUAUUAACCCAGCUACCACUGCUCUGUGUAACACAGAUUCUCCUUUGCUCCAUGUGGACAUUGUCAUCCCAUGCAACAACGAGGGAGCUCACUCAGUGGGUUUGAUGAGGCGGGUGCCAGCCUGGGAAGUUCUGCAGAUGUGUGGCACCGAAAUGGUGAGCACCUGUGGGAGGUCAUGCCUGAUCUCUGCUUCUACAGAGAUCCUAAAGAGGUUGAAAAAGAAGAGCAGGCUGCUGCUAAAAAGGAUAUGAUCAAGGAGGAGUUUCAGGGUGAAUGGACUUCUCCAGCUCCUGAGUUCACUGCUGCUCACCCCGAGCAGACUGGUCUGAAGGCAUGCAGGUGCCCUCUGUGCCUAUUCAACAGUUCCUUACUAAAGACUACUAGGGAAGACUGGUCUACAGCUCCCACUGCUCAGGCCACUGAAUGGGUAGGAGCAACCACUGAAUGGUUUUAAGCUGUUCUUGCAUAGGCUUUCAAGCAACAUGGAAAUAAGGUUGAUGGAAAAUAAACAUCAGUUUCUAAAAAACAAA